GUCCCCGUAGCUCAGCUGGAUAGAGCACUUGCCUCCUAAGCAAGGUGUCGUACGUUCAAAUCGUAUCGGGGACGCCA
rnacentral:tRNA from 1 species